ensembl:lncRNA
GAGGCAUUUACAAAUAAAUGAAAAAUGUCACAAUUGAUUUUGCUUCUUUCAGAGUACUCUGUGUCAGCUUUGUCACAAACCCUUUGUUAUUCUCUUUUUCAGAUCUGUUGUCUGGACAUUGGAAAUAACUUUGGUUCUGGGCUUCUUCCUGUUGACCCAGGGCUCAGAACCAGGAUUGCCAGCACAAGCAAGUUUUUGUGUGUAUGGAAACUCCUACCUCAGUGUGGCGCAACAGUUAUGAGCAUUGCCAUGCAGAAGUCUAAAUAAGAAAUGCCGUGUACAACGAUGUCUCCUUGAUGCUUCUCUCAGUUAUUCCACAGCAGCUUUCCAGUGAGCAAGUUGGGAAGUAAGACCGGCUUUCCAGUGGAAGCUCCUUUAGGGUAGGUGUUUUCAGUUUUGCCUCCCUUGAUUUAAGUAAGACAAGCUUGUUUGCAGUUCUGAAUUCUUUUGAAACGUGUCUUCACAUGCAACUUUUCGUACAUUUUUGGAUCGUUUUGAAAGAAUCUAUACCUGUAGUUGACCUACUUAAUCUAUGCAGUUAUUCCACUUUGUAGGGUGUUUUUGUCUCCGUAUUUUUUCCCAGCUUGGCAGUCAUUCUUUUUUAAAAAUACCAUAUGGUUG